rnacentral:rRNA from 1 species
CAGGAUGAACGCUAGCGACAGGCCUAACACAUGCAAGUCGAGGGGCAGCACAAGGAGCAAUCUGAGGUGGCGACCGGCGCACGGGUGAGUAACACGUAUGCAACCUGCCUGUAAGCGGGGAAUAACCCGUUGAAAGACGGACUAAUACCGCAUAAUACUAAAUUACUGCAUGGUAAUUUAUUUAAACAUUUAUGGCUUACAGAUGGGCAUGCGCAUGAUUAGCUAGUUGGAGAGGUAACGGCUCCCCAAGGCAACGAUCAUUAGGGGUUCUGAGAGGAAGGUCCCCCACACUGGUACUGAGACACGGACCAGACUCCUGCGGGAGGCAGCAGUGAGGAAUAUUGGUCAAUGGACGAGAGUCUGAACCAGCCAAGUCGCGUGCAGGAAGAAUGUCCCUAUGGAUUGUAAACUGCUUUUGCAGGGGAAUAAAGUGCAUCACGUGUGAUGUUUUGUAUGUACUCUGCGAAUAAGGAUCGGCUAACUCCGUGCCAGCCGCCGC